rnacentral:rRNA from 1 species
UGGGGGAUUUUGCACAAUGGGCGCAAGCCUGAUGCAGCGACGCCGCGUGAGGGAUGAAGGCCUUCGGGUUGUAAACCUCUUUCGCUGGGUUGAAAGGCCAUGCUUUGGGUGUGGUUGAUUUGAACUGGUAAAGAAGUACCGGCUAACUACGUGCCAGCAGCCGCGGUAAUACGUAGGGUACUAGCGUUGUCCGGAUUUAUUGGGCGUAAAGGGCUUGUAGGUGGUUUGUCGCGUCUGUCGUGAAAUCCUGUGGCUUAACCAUGGGCUUGCGGUGGGUACGGGCAGGCUUGAGUGCGGUAGGGGAGACUGGAAUUCCUGGUGUAGCGGUGGAAUGCGCAGAUAUCAGGAGGAACACCGGUGGCGAAGGCGGGUCUCUGGGCCGUUACUGACACUGGGGAGCGAAAGCGUGGGGAGCGAACAGG